AAUGCCAAUGGGGCUUUGUGCCAACGAGAAAAUCAGUAGAGAGUAUAACAGAAUGAGGAGGAUGGCCAGAGUGGUUGUGGGGGUGACGUUUUACACAGGGAGGUCAAGGUGACAUUUGAGGAGUGGCCCCAAAGAAGUAAGGACACAGACCUGUGGGUACGUGAGCGCAGAAACAGCCCAGGUAAACGGCCCCCGAGGGAACUGCCCCGGCCAGGUCCACAGGUGACAGGGAGAGGAUUCAGGAGACGAGAGAAGAGCCGAGAUGCCACGAAGCCAGUGUGUGCCUGGAAGGAUACAGCAGACGAGGGCUUGCGAAGUGUGGUCGAGAUUCUGUAUUUUAUUCCUAGUGAGAUGGAAGGAUGCUGAAGGGAUCCGAGCAGCGAAGUGAGGGAAUCUGACUGGUAAUUCAGAACCCAGGGCGCAGAAGUGGGGCAGGGAGGUAGGGUGGGAAAAUAGAAGGUGGGAACCUCCGCAGUUACGGUUCUGGGGACAAGGCAGUCCCAUUUGUGACGUGCUCUGCGGACAGUGGGGUGGCCUGGACAUUCGACGGAAGGCAGCAGGCGUACUGCCGUGGAGCCGGGGCUGGCCUCAGAGGUGACUUUUCAUUCUCACUCCUGUCCUAGAAUCCGGGCCUGGGCAGCUGUAGGGAUGGAGGCGCUGGUUAUCAGGGCGGGAAGACCAAGAGCCCCGUUUUCCUCAGGGGGAGAAGGGUCGGGAGUUUGGACCUGCUGAGCCUGAACUAAAAGUGAAGCUAUCCGGGACACAGCCGGGACCCAGUGUGCUCUCCAGAGGGGCAGGGGAUCUGGCAGCAGGCGCAGAACAAGCUCUUGGGAGAAGUUCCGCCCAACGUCAGAGCGGGAACACGAGGGCACCCAGGGAGAAGUGUUGGAAAGCGGCCCUCCGAGAGCACGGGGCUGCACGUAAUGCCGUCUGCCUCGUCGUGACAGCAUGAAACCCUCACAAACGUGAUGCCCGAGCUUGGACUUCUCAGCCUCCGAAACGAGCCAAAGUGAUCUUAAUUCUUCUCAGUGGAGGCUACAGUGGAGUAAACGAGUUCUUGGUCCCUCAGGUAAAUGAGCUCUGACCCGCUGGCAAGUGUUCAGAGAAACAUUUGUGGAUUCACAGGAAGUUGAAAAGAUAAAGCAGAGUGGUUCUGUGGCCCUUCUCCAGCUUCCUCCAGAGGGGACCUCCCACGUGAUCGUAGCACAGUGCAAACCAGGAAGCCGGCGCUGACACAGGUAUCAGAGGUCUCUGAAAGAAAUACAAUUGGUAAACGACCGAGGUACUGGGAUAACCUCUCAGGAAUCGUUCCCCACCAGUCCUUUCCCUCCGGCGGUCUAUCAAGCUCACAGGGAAAGACUGAAAAAAGAGCAUCACCGAUGGCCCGGAUGUGAUUGCUUCCUGCACGGCACUGGGAUGUAGCCAACACUUACUGGUGGUCACAGGCACAGUGGGCAUCCACCUACCUCCGACUGCCCACCUCUGUCAACCCUCAGCUCCCGGGUGCUCUCCAGCACUUGGACAGCUCCUCCCCUCCGUGCGGGCUCUGCUCUGCUGCCAGAGGAAAUUUUCUUGUCCUGCCUGAGCUGGGAAGCGAGGAAGUGGCAGAGAUACACACACCUGAGCAAAGAGGAAUGAGCCCAAGAAUGCAUGUACCAGACUCCCGUUCUCAUCUAAAUUAUCAUGUCUAUAAUAAAUGUAUCAGUAGAGAAAAGCAUUGCAGAUACAUUUUACAGGUAGUUUGUUAAUUGUGGUACAAUGCACAUAAGCUAAAAUUUUCCAUUGUCACCGUUUCCAAGUGUAUGGAGCAGUGGCAUUGAAUACAGUCACUCUGUAAUUAAUCAUCAAGCCAUUCAACUCCAGAAUUCCAUCUUCCCAAGCUGAAACUCUGAACUCACAAACACUGACUCUACCCUACCCCAGCCCUGCCCCAGCAGUGACCACUCUACUUUAUUCCUGCGAGUGUUCUCCUCUAAG
ensembl:lncRNA